GCCGAAGUGGUGGAAUUGGUAGACGCGCACGGUUGAGGGCCGUGUGGGGCAACCCGUGGGAGUUCAAGUCUCCCCUUCGGCA
rnacentral:tRNA from 1 species